UUUCACGCACCUCGUCUGUGGCGUGAGGGAACAUCAGGUACCUGCCUUUACCGCCAGUGGAGCCGAGGUUCCCGCAGUUUGAGCCCUCAUCGUGCUGGAACACAGACAAAAUACCAGAAAUUAACUUAAUUUUUCUGGCCAGGGUGAAGGCAGGAAACCGAGGUUUUGGACCCCAAAUGCAGACACGGAGAUGGAGCAGGGGCCUGUACCACGAAGCAGGCUUUGAGCUUAUUGAGAGUUAAAAAGAAGUCAGCAGGCUGCAGGGCCUUUUCCUGUUGUGACCCUGACCCUGUCCUUUAAAUCUCAACUGAAAACUCAUCUAUCCUUCCAUAAUUCAAGCAUCGACUUCUUCCAGUCAUUGAUCUGGAUCUUCGUCCCCCAUGGAGAUUCAGACUCCCCCCUUCUCCUUUUCUCUCGCAAGUUCAUGUUAUCAUGGUUCUCUCUCACUUUUUUCUUUAAUUUUCUUAAAUGGUUUUCCCUGUCAAAGGGUUUUUUGGGGGAGUUUUUGACUUGAGGGUCUAAAGACAGAGUGUAUUGUUGUUGUAUAUUAUACAGAUUGUAAAGCCCCUUAAGGCAAAUUAAUUAAUUCAUUUGUGAUAUUGUGCUAUGUAAAGAAAAUUUACUUGACUGACUUGGUAACUUAUUACCACCACCAAAUGUUUCAAUCAGCUAUGGUGGGAGUGAUUCCCAUGUAUCCGUCCUCUCUCUUCAUUGGUUCCCUCACUUUGAGCCCAUGUGAGGUUCGUGUUGGAAGUCCCUGCACUUUCCAUGCAGUCACAUGAAAUUUACGUAACACCUCUUACACAAUGUGGUCAGCAGUACCGUUUGGAGGGGUGAGGCUUGGAGGUGCACAUCUGUUAAAUUAUUUAGGACCCAUUUCAGAGAAUUCACAGAGUUCACUUUGCGUCACUGAGGACUGUGGGAACCAGUCGUGGGCAUCUGGAUCUCCCACCAGCAUGUUUUUGUUACACAGUGGGUGUAAGUGUGACGUGCAGGAACGGUGAGGGACAGUUAGAGGUUGAAAAACAAAAGUGCCCCCCAUCUCUGCUGUUGUCAAAACAAGGGUACUGUGGUGGUUAGGAGCAAAGGCAAUGCAGUUACACUACCAUAUAGGUGAAGCAGGCUGCCAGUGAAAAUACAGUGAGACUAUUCUCUUGGUGUUCACAUGAUGGCUUUUGCCAGAAAUGAGAAUGCACACUGAAAUCUUUUAGCUUUUAGGGGACAACCUAGAGGUAUGCAAGGAAAUUAUUAACUUUUCUUCUCACUGCUAAAAGUAAAAAACAAUAGUUUCAUAUCCACAAACUGCCAGGCAAAACUCUGCAAACCAAAUUAAUCAAGAAUUCUGGAAGCAUUUCUUUAGCGUUUCCCCGCUUUUGACCUAAAAUGGCUCCCAUCAUGAGCUACUAUUCAAGGAACUGGGUUUCCUAGAAAGAGCUUACUUUGGAGGCCUGCGCUGUGUAUUUUGGCAGCGCGUGCAGAGAGGGGGUGCCUUCCUUCUCGUCUUUGCCACAGAAAGGAGCUGUACUGAAAGACUCCUAUUAUUAGCUUGCUGGACAAACACAGUCCAGAGGAACAAACAGUCCUUCUUGCACCUGCACAUCAUGCACACACACACACACACCGUCAGGAGGAAACAAGCGCAUACACACACACUGACAAACACAGGAGCAGAAACAAGAAACAUACAUGCAACAACUUUAAGAAAUAUUUAAUCAUACAGUAGGUUAGCAAUUAAUAUCACGGACAAACAUAUGCAGGUACACAAACACAUGGCACUCUU